GAUGAUGAGGUAUUGUGAUAAUGGUGGCUGGCCAGAGACCCUCAGCAAGAGAGACAGCUGAGUGGCUGAUAUCCCUUCCAUGGCAGCACCCUAAUUGCCAAGGACGCAUUCAUGUUCAUGCACGUUAUUUGGUAAUUAUACUUAGUAGGCCGUAGGGGACAGUUAGGAAAGCUUAAAUAUGUGGCAGCUUCUACUACAUCAUCACUGUAAGCACCAGCAAGGCUUGGAUUGCAGCCUUUGAAAGGGUUAGUGCAAAGCAAUGGGAAGCAGCUUCCUGCAGCAAAGGGCAGAGGAGCAUCUUUUGGAGGGCAGGCAGGUGUGUCACGCUGGGAGUCUGGGUCAUCUUUUUGGUUGUAGGGAAAGAAGGGGAUGCCUGUAAAUGCUUCCUCUCCUCUGCAUUUAGAGUUAUGGGGGAAACGCAUGAUGAGAAACAGAUACUGAUCUUCUUUUAACAAGUAAUUGACAUAGAUUUAAAAAAAACAAAGCCUGAACUCUACUGUGCAUUGAUGUUGAACACAAAGGUAGAACACAAGUGGUGGAACAAUGCUUUGUACCGUACAGUGUGCCUUGCAUCUUAUUAAUUCACAGUUAUCUCUUUUCUAGAAAAAUGUCAUGGUUUGUGAAAUCACUUGAAGCUUGAGAACUAAGUGAAGCCUUGACAAUGGUCUGGAAAACAUCACUGCCACCAGCCACUCUGAGUCUGCCAGAGACCAGCCGACAUCCAGAGCAUUUUGUCUCCCUCAUGUCAGGUUGACUCCUGCCUUUGUUCAUGUGCUGGGAGCUGGCUGUGCCUAAUGGGAAGCUGCCACCCUUCCAACUGGGGCAAUGGGGCAACAGAGAAACAACCUGGUGAGCAGUGUUUUAUUCCAGAAGAAUUAUCUAUUGAAUCCUUCUGAACAAUUUUGGCAGACAUGAAGAAGAUAAAUUCUAUGUGUAAAACGUGUAUGUGUAUAUGAGCUAUGUGAAGCUUGUAUUUGAGCAAGGAAGGAGACUGCAGGAGCACUGAUGCAGGCAGCUGCUUUGUUUGUCGUCACAAAUAGUGAUAUACUUGGGCCAGCCCGGGCAGAAUGGCACUGCAACAGAGCAGCCUGCAGCUCAGCAAUGGGCACUGCUGGUGCAGAAAUUCAGGGGUUAAAGCUCCAGCCUGGGUGGGCACCUGUGGGAUAAAACUGGCUGUAGCAGACCACUGAUCACCUUGGUGUGCAUAGCAUUGCCCUGCUGGGGCAGGUGAAAACUUCCCCAAGUAGCCUAGAUGUGUAAUUUAUGCUGGCUGUCUCCAGAGCCAGCUCCAGGUUUUGCAUGGAAGGGAAGGGGGCAGAGCAAGAAGAAACCAUGAGGAGCAUCAGUGGUGGGUUUGAGGGCAGAGCUUUUCAAAACAGGGAUUCUGGUCAAGUGGACUGGUAAGACAAAGCUCCUGUGAGACCCAGGAUGGCCAGAGAAAGGAGCAGUGCUCAAACCUAGGUGGUGUCCAUCCACGCCUGAAAGGCUGUUGGAGGUUUUUUGUCCUUCUGUUUGCCUGAAGUUGUUGACCUGCAGUAGACAGAGAUGCUGGGUAUUGACAUUUCAUCUGUAAAUAUAAUGUGAAAUAUAGGUUUAUAAUUUGGGGUUUAUCCCUUGGGACUGUAGCCAAGCACGUGGCAUUACUGUGCAGUGGCAGAUGAGCAAUUAGCAGAUCUGUGCAGGAGCUGUUUGCUGUGCAGAGCAAUGGAGGUGUCAUUAGCAUGCAAUUACGGGACUGCCUUGAAGUGUCGUAUUGUCUAUGAAGUGGCUUUGAACUGAGCAGAGGUUGGACAACAGCUGCUGAUAAUAUCACAGCCAGCAGCAGCUGGGGGGCUUGGGCAUGUGGAGCGUGUGCCUCCAUCAUGGCAGAUUGGCAGUGGUGUGUGCUCACCUCCCUGUGGGCAAUGUGAAUAUGAGCUGCACAGUGUGGGAGGUAGGAGAGGAGGGAGAACACUGCAGACUUGCAAGGAAGAGGGUCCCAUCCUGCUUUUCAUGUAGGCAGGGGAAGCUUUGCACUGAGCAUGAAUUCUGCAGGUUGGCCUUUGCUUUCUCACCCCUUUAGCCACUGGUGUGGCCUGAGAGGUUAGUGUGACCUGUGCUAGGGACCAUUGCCAGCCUGGUCACUGCUCAGGCACCUGGAGCAGGAUGGUCCAGGGGGUUUCCUGUGGCUCUGGGUACCUGCUAGGGCUGGCAGGGAAGAAAAGGAGGAAGGCUGCAGGAUGUCUUCUUGGUAUGCUGGCUGCAACUGGAGCAGUGCACCUUGACAUCAUGCUCCUGACAGAGUAUGUUUGUUUGCCUAUUUUACGUGGGAGUGGGAAGGACUUUGGUUUGGGGAUGCAGCCAGAAAGAUCUGCAGGAUAUCUCAGGAAGGGUACAUUUGCCUAGAGGGGCAGGAGCCUGAGAAGUGAGUGAUGAGGCUGCCUCUGUCAUAGUGUGGAGAAGGUGCAUUAAUUCAUUGGCUUUGCAUUAUACUUUUUCCAAGACUUUAGGGCCUUUCUCUGAUCUUUUGUAUCCCUAAGCUUUUGUGCUGUGAGGCUAUUUGAUAUCCAGAUCUCAUCACUCAACUUCUCAGAACUAAGCACAUUUUUUCCCAUCAUUAGAGAUAAGAGUAAAGCAACAGGGCAAGGUCCUUAUUAUUUUUUAAUGCUAGCUGUAUUUAUUAUGAAGGUUUUGUACAAAAUGAUCUUUGCUUCAUGAUUUGGAGAAUUGUUAGUCAUAACAGCACACAAUAAAACAUUUGCACAGACGAGCUUUGCGGAUUGGGUUUUCCGAUUUGCACCCAGGGCAUCUUGUCGGAGGGCUGCCAUGUGAAAUAGCUGUUGCCAGGGCUGGAUUUUGUAGUAGUUGUCUGGGGAAAGGACCUCUGGCUUCCACCCUGUGUAAGGGAGUGUUCCCUGCACAGACCAAGCUGUGCUAAGUGAAAAUAGGUUCACGUUACUUAACAGUAUGCUUCAAAUACUUUGCAAGGUAAUUGUGGGUUGCUAUUUUGGACCCCAAAAUUGCUGAUGAUGGGUGGAUUAUUCUAGAGAAAAAGUAAAAAGGUAAGUUAUGAUAUCUUAAAUAUCUGUGGGGGUUUCACCUCACUCAUCUGAAUGGGAGACAGGGUAUACCUGCCUGUCUGACUGAAUUACUAUAGAGAAAGGUGAGCAAAGGGAGAAUACUUUGGGGAUGUCACUGGCAGGUUAUUAAGACUGAAGAUGAUGAGGGUUUGAGUCUUUCUCCUGUGUGGUCUGCUGAUAUCACUGCAAGGUUCGAAUGCAGAAAGUGCCAUCGUAUUUCAAGAAACAUAGGAGAAGGCUUGUGAAGAUUCAACAAAUAUCGUUUUUGAGCCUGGAAUGAGCAAAUUCACAUUCCCAUAAUUAAAGGUGGAUUCAGUAGCUUUCAAAGGCUGUAAUUGCAUUUGAGAAAAGGAAAAUCAUUAUGUGCCCAAGCCACCCAAAGUGCAUAAUUACUCCAUUGAAAUACCUCUAGAGGAUGCAUCAAAGUCAGGAAAAUCCCGCACUCAGGAUCCCAGGACUGACACACAAAGAUGCUUACUGUCCUCCUGCACAGGUAACCCUCUGGGAUACAGGGUGAGUCUCCUCUCCCCUUCCCUGCAGUAUCUCGGUGUGUGGUGGCUUUUCUCAAGACCAUGUUUUUUAAAAUACCAUGUCCAGCAGAAGCUGCACAGAACCAAAUACCUCUGAGGAGGCAUCUCCUGUCCCUAAAUGGUAGUUGGCCUGUUAUGGUUGCUGCCAGCAGGAUUUAUGAGCAGGUUGUCAUUGUCCUCAGAAACAUGUCCUGUGAGUUGCAGCCAGGACUUUACUUAAAGGAUGUCUCUCCCUGCUGUUGUGUGCACUGGUCCCUUUUGUCUGUGCCUCUCUGCACAGUGUGUUUGCUUCACCUGUGAAUUCUACCACUUGUGCAAGGACAUAAGAUUAAACAGAAUUGCACCCCUGCAAUACUGGAAAUGGUGUUCUGGAAAUGUGACUUUCCUAAGGGCUUUAAAUCAAACGUUGGCUAGAUGGAGCUGCCGUGAUUUAAGUGCUUUCUGCCUUCUGGAGCAGCAGUGCAGGUACAUCUGUGGAAGGCAGGUCCAGCAGGUUGUGUUCUGGUGCAGCCGUGUGCCCAGGCUAGCACAGGACCAGCUAGACUCAGAAGUGUUUACUUGCAUUUAUGUGGGUCUUGAAAGGCUUCUUAAAUUGUAUGAAGUUAAUACAAUGGAAAAAGGAUUUUUCCUGCCUACCUAAGCAAGCCUUUAGUGAUUAAUGCUGUAAAGUGAAAGCAGCAGCAACAAAUUCAGUUUUAUAAUGUGCUGUGGAUUCCAGGUCUAUGAAAAAUGUGUGCUUCAUAAAAGAAAUUUUCCCUUCUCUUAGUAUUCUUUCAAAAAAUAUCUUAUCUCCCUAAAAUCCUCGUGUCUCCAUAGCUGCAUUUUGAUGCUAAUGGGAUUCAUAGCUUCACAAUUCUUUCUCUCUUCUUGCAUUGGUACAAGGCUAAACUCUAUUGCAGAAUAGAUGUGUUUGACUAGAGAGAAACUUAGCAGAAGAGAGGAUUCACUCUUUGGUUGUGAAAUUAGUUGAGCUUUUUUUCAUCUGUUGUUCUUGCAGAAAUGUAUUAUGUACCAUAACUACCGCAAGAAAAAGGAAAUCUUGAGGUACAGGAUGAGUUGCUUGCUGUUGUCUCUGACACUGAACAGUAAACAGACAGACCGUCAUGAGUGGAAGACAUUUUAAUUCACAUAAUUUGUUAUUCUAAAACUUUGAUUAUUUUAAUGGUGGUAAAAACUCUUGCAUCUGCUUUUGAAUUACAGCUAAGGAAGUACGGAGGAUCUAAACAGUCUCCUUGCUAAAAAUACAUUCUGCUAGAAGUGCUGCUUUCCAAACCUGUGUCAUACUUGGUUGUGUGCUUCAAGGGAAAGUUUGGGACAUUGACUAUUGCUCCUGCUUUCUUUUGGUUGCUCUACAUAAAUGGCUGUAUUUUGCCACCACUUUCAUUGUGAUCUUUUUCCCCAUAACAGGAAUUUGUUCCUCUUCAUAGCUGCUUUCCAGGGAGGGAGCAAGCGGCUGCACUUUGCACGCAUACCACAAGAAACAGGGUGUGUGGAAUAGCAAAAGCAGCAGAUGCACUGCAGGGUAGCAGAAGGGUUUCCUCCCACCCCUUAACACAGCAGAACCACACAAUUACCUGUCCGAACUGGCUGUGUUCAACCUUUUCUUGGCAUGAGAUCAAGCCCAAUAAAUGGUUUUUCUCAGCCUUCAGAAAAGGAGGCUCAGAGGGGAUCUCAUCACCAUGUACCAGUACUUAAGGGGUAGCUACAAAGAAGAUGGAGACUCCCUUUUUACAAGGAAUCACGUGGAGAGGACAAGGGGGGAUGGACACAAGUUGCUCUUGGGGAGAUAAAGAUUGGGCACGAGAGGAAAAUUUUUCACAGUGAGGACAGUCACCACUGGAAUAAUCUCCCCAGGGAAGGGGU